ensembl:lncRNA
AUUUAUAUGUGGAGGGUAUAUAUAUAUGUGUGUGUGUGUGUGUAUAUAUAUAUAUAUAUAUAUCCUCCUUCCCAACACUCUGAAGGCUGGGGCAGGAGGGUCCCUGUGCAUUUGAGGCCAACCUGGACUACAUAGUGAGUUCAAGGCCACUCCAACUACAUAGAGACCCUGUCUCAAAAUUCCAAAAUAAAAAAGACAGUGACCUUUCCAUGAAAGAGAAAGGGAGUAUACUUUCAACUUACAUAAAUACCAAAGCCAUGUGAGUUUGUUACCCAGUGUUUCCAGAUGUUACUUUGUUCUUUGCUCGCUCAACCCAGUGACUUUGGGAGCCAGGCUCUGGCUUCAGCUUCUGGAACACACAGUACAUUGUUUUGCAGCCUCAGAUUUUCUCAGCCAGAAACUUUAAAGGGAGUGAAGGUGUCCUAGGGUUGUGUCCUUGAGCUAUUAGAAACCCUUUCUGUGUUAGAAAUUUUGUCUGUUUAUCUUCCAAGGUCAAGACCAAGUGGAAUCCUCUUUUUUUUUUUUUUUUUUUUUUUGAGAUGCUGGGGAUUGAACUCAGAGCCUCCACACUGAGCUACGUUCCCAGCCUAAUUUUUUUUCUUACACUAAUUUAUACAUUUUAAUUAGUUGCAUAUAUUAACAUGUCCUAUAUGAUUCUUUUCUAAGAAGCAUUGCAUAAUGAAUGGAUACUGUAAAAAGAUCUGCUUAGUCAAAAGUAACAAGCAUUAACAGAUGCACACAAAACAGCCUGACUCACUGUGCUGCCCAAGGAGCGGGGACACCAGGCUUCCCAAGGGGUGGUAAAAAGACCACAAGAGCCCUAAAAAAUCAGGUGACUAAGUAGACACAGAUGAACUGUGGAAGUUCUCUCUCUCCAGCGGACAACAAGCCUACUCCCAUGCCCAGUGCACACCAGCUCCAGUUCUCUGGUAGCCAGCCCGCCUGCUGCCAAGCUGGGGCUCGUGGAGAGCCAGCCAAAUUUUAUUUGUUUAUUUUAUUUUGAAGCAGAGUCUUGCUAAGUUGGCCAGACUGGGCUUCAAUUUGCUAUCCUCUUGCCUUAUCCUUCCAGAGUGCUUUGAUUACAGGCGUGUGCCACUGCGCCCAGUUUUUUUCUACCUUUUGAAAAACGUGAAAAAAUAUAAAUAUUUGUGUAUCUACCUAUAUAUGUAUACAUGUAUGUGUAUGUAUAUACCCUUACCUAUAUCUUUUUUUGUUUGCAGUGUUGGGAAUCAAACCCAGGGCCAUAGGUAUGCUAAGCAAGCAUUCUGCCACUGAGCUCUAUUCCCUGCCCUGUGUGAAUAUACUGAUGUUGCAAAAAUUAUAAUUUAACCCAGGCAUGUUGGCACAUGCCUGUAAUCCCAACACUCAGGAGGCUGAAGCAGGAGGAUUACAUUGAGUUUAAGGCAGCCUGCAGUACAUAGCGAGAUCCUACCUCAAAGCACAAUAAAUUAUAAAUUAAAAACAAAAGCAUGUCAUAGUAGGCCUCAUAUGCCAGGAACAAUUGGAUUUAGAAUUUUCGGUUUGAGAUAGGGUCCCACUGUGAAGUCCAGGGUGGCCUCCCAAGGGCUGGUGUCACAAGUGUGUGCCACCACACCUGGCACAGGAAGUCCUAUUGGACAGCACUUUGCGGAACCAAAAUGGGCCAUCUCAAGGUACAGAUUUCAAAAUAGAGGUCUCAAAAAAUAUAACAUUAAUUGAAAAACAACAACAAAAAACCAAGCAGGUUGCCAAAGGUUACUUCAAUGAUCUCAUGUUUAAAUAAAGUUUGGAAGAGAGCCCGGUGUGGUGGUGAACACCUAUGAUCCAGCACUCAGGAGGCUGAGGCAGGAGGAUUGCAGAGUUCAAAGCCAGCCUGGGCUACAUAAUGAUUUAAGGGGCAGCCUGAAUUACAAAGGGAGACCCUGCCUCAAAAUGAAGAAAAAAAUGAAGGAAGGAAGGAAGAGAGAGAAAGAGGAAGAAAGAAAAAGAAAGUUUGGAAGCAAUUGAAAGCAUUUGUUGCCUCCAGAGGUGCAAAGCACUUGGAGGAGAGAUGAAGUAGGCGGGAGACUUUUCACACAGACCCUGCAUCUUGUAAUUGUUUUAUUUAAGUCUGGCCUCAAACUCUUGGGCUCAAGCACUCGUGCCUCAGUCUUCCAAGCAGCUGGACAACAGCCCUGCUACCCAGCAGCAGCUGCAUCUUUUAAGCUUUGAUCCAUACAGCAGGCUGGCGGCCGUGUCCCUUGACUUAGUCUCAUCGCUCCGGCGGCUGGCCGCUAGCCCCUGACCGAGUCACGGAGGACACCCCCGUCCGGGCCGGCUCCAGUCUUGGUCACUGGGCCCCGCCUACUGGGGCUGGGGGUGAGGCCGGGCAUCGCAGUGGAGGCGGAGGCAGAGCGCGAAGUGGAUUUACUUGUCCAGGCCCUGCGAAGCACUGGACACCGGAGGCAGCGACAGCGAGGCUGCGAUCUCUCCUCUGCUCUGCUCUUCGAGACGCUGCGUGCUUUCACUCCUAACCCGCAGGAGUCCCUCCCCAGGUACUGUGCAGCUGCUGGCCCAAAGCAACAGGGACUAGCGACUGUGGACCGGACUAAAACUUCUGAAAACAUGAGCUGAAAUAAAACUCUUUUAUUUUAUUCUAUUUUUAAACAGCGUUAAAUCAAGUGAUUCUCUCUCUUUCUCUUUUUUCAAGAGUAGGAAAAGUUUAUUGGGAAAAAGAAAGCUUCCGCCUAAGAGAGACAGAAGGGUUUUUGGUUUGUUUUGUGUUGUGUUUUUUGAGAUAGGGUCUCGCUAUGUAGUUCAUGCUGCCCUUGGACUCACUAUGUAGACCAGGUUGGCCUCCAACUCAAUGUGAUCCUCCUGCCUCAGCCUCCCAAGUGCUGGGAUUAUAGGUGUGCACCACUACACGUGGCUAUUUUAUUUUGGCACCAAAGAUCGAACUCGGGA